GCCCACUCGCCUCACUUGAGCCUGUCUGGCAGCCUGCUAUCAAUUAUAUUGAUAGUAAAUUUGAGGACUACCUAAAUGCAGAAUCGCGAGUGAACAGAUGUCAGAUGCCUGGUAACAGGGUGCAGUGUUGUUUAUACUUCAUUGCUCCUUCAGGACAUGGACUCCCACCUUCAGGCAGGAUUGGGUAGUACAUGUUUGUAACUACCUGGCAUUGCCUUUUGUUGAGGUGGCAGACAAGAAACAUGGAUUAUUGCGUGGAGUUCCAUUAGUAGGAAUAAGACUCAUUCUACAUUCUUGUUGUUCUUAGUGUUUUUUGUUUUUCAUGAGAAGGAAUUGUAUCAGCACAAGGCAAUAUUCUAACAUGACAAUGACAGCAGACAGAACCUCAAUAAACUCUGACUUGGUACUGCAAA
ensembl:lncRNA SEPTIN7P9 septin 7 pseudogene 9